UCACAUUUUAUAAUUAUUUUAAUCUCCCUCCCAAAAUCUAAAUAGUUCCCCCAAAAGUUUAGAUUUCCCUAUGAGAUUUCACAAUGAACAUUCAUCUCUCCCAUUACCCACCCCAAUCGCUAUUCUUUCGCUGAAACUGCUAGAUCGUCUCCUCUUAUCGAUUCCCACUACUACGCCCCUAAUGAAUCGCAACUGAGUAACCGAUGAACCACAACUGCACCACCAGAUGAUCUCUCAUCGCCGCUCAUACCUUGUCACUCAACUCUUCUUCGCUUCACUUCAGCCCCGGAAGCCUUCAACAUGUAUAUGUAUGAUUAUUUGUACAUGGGACAUGUGAAUAUAGAAUGACUGGAUGAGGUCUUCAAAGUUACUCAGAUCAGAUUGGACAUGGAUCUGGUACAAAUAAACAUCUUAGAGAGGAUGCAGAAAUCGCUAUGCAAGGACUCAUCAAUUUUGCUUAAUAUACAUCUAGUAUACAUCUGCCAUUUUACUUUGGGGUAUGUGAAUGACAAGUGGAGUUUUGAGAAGAUGAUCAGAUUGAAUUAACAACUUUACUUGGAUUACUUUGUUAUUUUGAAAUUGGAAAUAUAUGUUAAAGUACAACAUAAGAUAUUGAUUACAUUUAUGUUAUUGUGCUGGUGUAAUUGAGAUACUAUUCCAUAUUAAUAAAAAUUUUAGUACAUCAAACAAUGAUGUUGUAGA
rnacentral:lncRNA from 1 species